GACGAACGCUGGCGGCGUGCUUAACACAUGCAAGUCGAACGAUGAUGCCCAGCUUGCUGGGUGGAUUAGUGGCGAACGGGUGAGUAACACGUGAGCAACCUGCCCUCUACUCUGGGAUAACUCCGGGCAACCGGUGCUACUACUGGAUAGGACUCUGGCCUGCAUGGGGCGGGGGGGAGAGAUUUAUCGGUGGUGGAUGGACUCGCGGCCUAUCAGCUUGUUGGUGGGGUAAUGGCCUACCAAGGCGACGACGGGUAGCCGGCCUGAGAGGGUGACCGGCCACACUGGGACUGAGACACGGCCCAGACUCCUACGGGAGGCAGCAGUGGGGAAUAUUGCACAAUGGGCGGAAGCCUGAUGCAGCGACGCCGCGUGCGGGAUGACGGCCUUCGGGUUGUAAACCGCUUUCAGCUCUGACGAAGCUUUUGUGACGGUAGGAGCAGAAGAAGCACCGGCUAACUACGUGCCAGCAGCCGCUGUAA
rnacentral:rRNA from 1 species